rnacentral:rRNA from 1 species
UGGGGAAUAUUGCACAAUGGGGGGAACCCUGAUGCAGCGACGCCGCGUGAGUGAAGAAGUAUUUCGGUAUGUAAAGCUCUAUCAGCAGGGAAGAAAAUGACGGUACCUGACUAAGAAGCCCCGGNUAACUACGUGCC